GUUCCCCCCCCCCCCCUCUUGUGGGCACCCCUGUCUAAGCUGUAAUAUAGAGCGAGCAUGUCGAUGAGCUUUACUAACAGCAUGUGACAAUAUACGAAAAAAAAAAAAAAACUCAAUAUCAAGCGAAUGAUACAAAUGAAAAUAAGAACUCGGUAACAACCUGUGUAAAUUUAUUAUAUAAUUAUUUUUAUAUAGAAAAACAAACUCAGUACUUCUCAUACAUAUAUAUAUAUAUACACACACACAUAGCCUACAUAAUUAUAUUCAUUUCCGAGCGUUCAGGUAGGUACAUGCGUACAUAAGUAUACAAAAAAGUACGUUAAGCUCAAAUAUUAAAUUACAAUUUAAUUAAUUUUGCCCUAAUCACGAACACGUAACAGUAACUACAUGAAAACGUAACCCCCAGAGGUGCCAACCUUUCACCAAUCUUUCAGUAAUAUAUUUGUAAAACUUCAGUAAUUUUCAGUAAUUAACAAAUUACCUAUUACACCAUUAACGACAAAAUCAAUUCAAACGAAAUCGUACACAAGAAAACCACACACAAACUUACAGCACUAGAAAUAUAAACAUUCAGCUAAACCAAAUAGGCCUACUUAGAAAGUUCAAUUUAACUCACCUAUUUGAGCAGAUGAAUGUCAUUUUCAACUUAGGCCUAAUAGUUUAUGUACAAUUUCAAUUUUCAUAUAUAGUAAGUUUCACAUCAGUUUUUAAUCAAAUGGCGUGCACAUGGAUGCCCUCUUUUUUCACACACAGGAUAAGGCUAAGUAUGUCAAAUCAAUACACUUAUAAUGUUUCAACAACAUGUGUAAAAUUAUAUACAGUUAAAAUUUGAUGUGCCAAGAAUUUCACUCAAUUAUGGCGACUUUUGCAACAUUUUGUUAGUUGCUUUUUUUGCUCGAACAAGCAGUUCUUUGCUGAAUUUCUGUUCGUAACAUACUUUCCCGCUAACCAUCAUGUGAACUUUUUGUAUGAUUAACGACUCUAACAAUUUGGAGCCUAAUGUUGAACGGAAUUCUGUUUUGUUCUUCCUGACUAUGCUGAAUAUUCUUUCACAAAAGGCAUUACUGUGAGGAAUGCACAAAACUGCUAACAUUACUUUUGGGAGAACACUGAACUUAGGCGCACCAUCAGCAGUUUUCAUAUUCAUGAUUAAAUGCCACGAAACAUCCAUUCUGUCACUAUUGAGAAUUUCUUGAGGGAGGUUCUCUGCUUGAUACCUGGCAAACUCAAGUUCCAAAUUGGACGUUUCCUCCUCACUUAACAAGAUACUUAAUUUCUUACAGAAAAAUUCCACAGAGUCAUAUGUCAUGUUAUCACGUUGAUUAACAUCUGCCACUGCUGCAUGAAUCAAGAUUUCACUGUUGAGUGGAAAUUUGUCCACAAUGUAUUUACAGGCUGACUGAAAAGAUUUCCUGACACUGUUGUAGAAUACAGUAAUAUUUUCUUCACUUAGUCAUACACUACUGUCUUUCAUGUAGGACCUAGUUUCGAAGCCAAUCACAAUACUGUCGUUUUCUUUUUGUGAUUUUCUGUUGCAAUACUCUAUUGCCAAGACACUGUCAGCAUUUUUGAUGGCUUCAGGCUUAAUAAAUCUUACAUACAGUUCACUUAGCAAAGAUAGGAGUUCACCGCGAAGAAAAUGAAUAAGUGUGUCCUCAUUUUGCAGCAAAACAUUAACCUUUGUGAACACUGGAACAGUGCUCUGAAGAAAAAGACAGUACAACUUCGUAACUGGUGAAGAAAUAGCUUUUUUAAUCCUAUCGAAUCUACUAUUGGAGUAAACAGGCUUAAUCUUGCUGACUGCAAUAUUUUUUACUGGUCGGUCAUUGGUUGAACCAUGUUUCUUGCGUUUACUUGAUUUAGCAGACUGACUGCUGAAGGAUUUGUGGCUCGCAAUUUUAUCUUUUGAAAUCAGUUUUGUAGGUUCACUCGUCUUAGAUUGAGGACACAUUCCCAAUUUAUUAGAUGAUGUAGACGUAACACUUGCAACAAGCUUACUAUAACUCACUGGAGUGGGAGUGGAAACAUAUUUUGGCGUACAGUUGUUUCCAGCUGAGUCAAAAGAAGAAACUGAAACAGCCGACACCCUAGCUACAUUAACAUUAGAUCUUCCUGCUGGUAGUGUUUUGUCACCAAGGAUAAAUGUUUGUAAUGUAGGCCACUGUUCUAACAACCUGUCAACACAAUUUUUCAGUGACAGCCAUCUAGUGCUGGUAUGUUUCAAUAUUUUAUGGGUUGCUGCAUCACAAAGAACUUGACACUAUUUCAAUUUCUGAUGACGCAGAGCACUUUUGUCCAAAUAAUAAUACAGAUCUAUCAAUAAAUCUUCAAUAGAAACAGGUAACUCUUUAGUUGCUUUCUGUGCAGCUAUAUGUAUUAGGUGACAUGCACAUCCUUGUACGAAAAUAUUAGGAUUUUCCUUAGUAAUAAAGGCAGCAGUUCCUUUAUGCAGGCCAGUCACAGUGGAACAAUUAUCAGUAGCAAAGCAAAUGCAGUUGCUCCAUAAAAGGCCUUUAUUAUGCAGCUCUUUAUUUAGGAGUUUGAAAAUAUUUUCCCCAGUAUUUGACAUAACACAAACUGGAAGAGCCAAAACUUCAGGAACUAUUUUCCCUAAAUCAGAUCUGUAGGCUGUAACAACUAUCGGGUACAGAGUUUCCUCACCAGCAUGAUGACUACCGUCGGUAGCGAUACUAAAAGCUGACCUCACCGCAUUUCUCACGAUUUCCUCUUGGGAAGCUUCUGCAAGUGUCUGGAUUACAGCUGUAGUCUUGGUUCGUUUGAAGGAGUAUUUUUCAAUAAUUUUUGAAUCGGGACACAUUGCCUUUAAUAACGGGCCCAUGUGGUCUGCUACGGCAAGCAGUAUGUUAUGUUCCACUAAAAACGUAGCAAAAAGCACUUCCGCAUUUGUUUUAGGAUCGACGGCAUCACUCUUAAAAAAAGAAGUUACAGGCUUGUUCAAAGCUUUCAAUUUAGAAAAUUCGACAUGUUUUUUUUUUUUGCUAUUUACGUGACGCCGGUAAUCGUACGCUAAAGUUACAUUUACACAAAUCACAAAAUACAUGUUGUUCUGAUACACUUGAGGCACUUAAAGAUGUCCAUAACUGCGAAUAUAUUGGACGGUAUUUCUGACCAGUUUUUGGUUUCGAAUUCAUUGUCGAAAUUUAGAAGUUAACGCACACAUUUUACUUUGACUUCACUCGUGUGGCUUACAAAAACAAACAGAACAACAGCGCUACUGCAGCGGCGCAGCAUAGCAUUCCGCGGAAGAAGCAACUCGAGAUAAAACAAACGAAGCCGGACGCAUGCGCCGAGGCUGCUUCAGAGUAAUGGCUGUUGUUUUCGCCACACGCCACACUUCGGGUAGAUACGUUAAACCUAAUGUACAUCUUCGGGCAAAUGCUCGUUAGCUGACAGCAGUUGCCACUAACGGAAUGUUGUUAAAUCUAUGGAAAGUUGUGACGUCACGCAAUUUGAACAAUAACAAGCACAGAUACGUAAACACGAAUGCUAAAAAUAAGAUUUGUGAUUUUGAAAAUAACAAAUUCCAUAGUUUUAAAAAGACCAAUCGUAAUUCCGUAAUAAAGCACUAUUAUUCGUAUAAAUUACGGCAAAUUCGUAGUACUUGGCACCUCUAGUUAAGUCUUAAGAAAGCUUAAAGCAACCAGACCCGGAACUAUAAGGGCCAAGAAAAUAUGUCGUACAAUCUGUAGAUACGAAAUAACAAGCUUGUAAAAAUUAUACAAAAUGGCACAUUAGCAGCAUGCGCCCAAAUACAUAAUUCAUUCUUCUCAAUAUAUUCAAUACACGAACGUAAGAUUUCAAGGGCAAAUUUACAAUACAGAGAUUCAAACUAGAAAGUAGACAAUGUAAGUAAGCCACGCGAGGCCGAUCAAGGCUGGUGAACAGUCAAAUGGUAAUCUAUACACCUUUUCACAUAGACUAUAGACAAGAAAUUAAUUUUCUUCACAUAAUUUCAUUACGGAGAAAUGCCUAAACGCAUGUAAAUACAAGAUUAAAUUGGAACUUGAAAUUAGGCCACAUGAAAUAUCACAGACGACAGUGUGAUUCGCUGCGACGAGACAUGGCCCGAGAGUAAACCACCUCAUUUUAAAGUGAAAUGCAAAAUACAACCAUGCACUAAGAGAAGUUAAACCAAACAUCAGUUUAAACAGUGGCGACCAAAGAAACAAUUUAGAAUUAUAAGGAAUUGUAAACAAUUCCCGUUACAUUAUAAGAUGAAGCCACCUUCCAUCAUUAAAUACACUAGUCAAACAACAAUUACGUACCAUGUCACACCAGACCGUCACGUCACUAGAGUCACUAGUCCGAACAAAGAAAACUAGCUCGCAAAUUUACUCAGAAACAGGAGCGAUUGGCCUGAAACAUAUGAAGUGAAGGAGGAAUUUUUUCUUAACCUAACUAAAAACUAUGUGUGUUUGGGAGGGUUCCGCAUUAGGGAGGGAGACUAAGUGCGUCUCAAGCCAAAGCCUAUACGCUCUAAUAAUGCAGGAUAUUAGCCAUGCAAGAGGGGUAGUAUGCAUCAUGUGCUAGGAGGGGGAUUGGCCAGCCAUGGCAGCGAUUGGCGCCAUGACUAACUCCCCUCACUGACUAUUCUUAAGUAAAACUAGAUUAUUUGUGCCCAGGUAAAACCUGCAUAGACACAGGGAAAAACCUGGGAAGCAAAAAUCCAUGCAUUAAUAUCAAGCAGGUUGGUUUCAGGAAAAAGAAGGAUGGUUCUGGAAGAAAAGUUGGACUAGUAGUAAAGUGUCUACCACGCGGCCGGGGGAGGGGGGAGUUGGGUGCUUGAACAUUGUUGUCCGCAUUGUUUUGGGUGGCACUGGUUGUUUCGGGGGCGAAUUUUUGUCGUUUCGCGCCGGGCUGUCAGCCAGCCCAAUUUAAAUAGGAAGUAUGAAAUAAAAAAUAGUUAAGUUAAUCGACGCCGGAUUCAAUCCUGCAAAUGUGUGUUAUGCAGCGUGCGAUUCAAAAUUUCAUGCCUUUCAGAAACACAGCCGGCACUGCAGGUGAAGCCUGCCAGGCGAGCCAUGCCCAUCAGGCAGAGAACCCUAGGGUGCCGAUCAUAUACCUGCGUGCUUCUCACUAUUUUGAAUCAGCACUGUGAUUUGUUUAUCUCGAGAGGUGUUGUUUUUUUUGGAAAUUUUCGCAAGUUAAUCCAAGUGUGUAAGGGGAGGGUCCAGGUUAGGGCAGGACCUAAGUGUGUCUCAGGCUGAAGCCUAUACACUCUACCAUGCGGGGUAUUAACCAUGCAGAACAAGGACGCGUGAAUCAUGUGCUAAUUGCAGUUUAUUGGCCAGCCACUGACCGGUCCGUAACGGCGUGGUUGGGGUCCGACCUCGGCUAUGCGCAGUGCGACUGGAUUGGCCGGCUUCUCGGCCAAUCGCGCGUCACUACGGGGGGCGAUACGAGAGGAUUGAUUUUGGGCAUUUGUAUUAUUGUUGCACGUCGGGAUCAUAAUUUUCAAGAGAGGAAACAUGUGGGUUAAAACUAUUUAUGCAUUUAUCGUAAAAUGUUUGUGUAGUUCGGAUGUAGAAGUCUUGCAAGGUUUCCGACUCGGUUUCACGAUGCAAUGCUUCUACAGGGCAGUACACUGGGGCGUGUGUAGCGAUUAGAAUACACUUGUUCUGAAUUCGCUGUAGUUUUAACAGGUGUGUGGGGCCUGCAGUUGCCCAGACAGGGGCUGUGUAAGGUAUGAUGGGCUGGAUGAGAGCUUUUUAGAGCAGCAAACCAUUUUUGACAGUGCUGCCGCGUCGCCUACUCAUGACUGGGCAUAGGGAGCUCAUUCUAACCUGAGAUGGUGUUCGUUUGGCGUUUAUAUGGUGGCGCCAUAGCAAUUUCCUUUCCAUAUGGACGCCAAUGUAUUCAACUACGUCUUUGUGGGGAAUGUAUCCUUCAAACAGACUAAUUUGUGGCGUAUUGUUGACGGGUGUGAGAUGUUUGCGAGUAAACACAAUAGCUUCAGACUUAGUUGUGUUUACUUUGAUUCGCCAGGUCGUGCACCACUGCUGAAACAGUGAGUGCGACUUGAAGCCUGUUUGUGGCUAGCUGGAGGUUGUGGGACCUGCUAUACAGUACUCUGUCGUUUGCAUAGCAGCCCAGCUUGACUAGGCGGUGUGCGGGGCGUAGCAUGUCGCUGAUGUAUAUAUUGAAGAGGACAGGGCCCAGGAUGAUUCCCUGUGGCAUUCCUGCUCUUAUUUGUUUUAAGUCAGAUAGAGCCCCUUCUGUAAAUACUCUAAAGGUUCUGUCUGCUAAGUAGGACGCGACUAGCUUGAUGUAGCAGUCUGGGAAUCCUGUUUGGUAGAGUUUGUAGAUUAGCCCCGUAUGAAAUACUCUGUCGAAGGCUUUUUCUACGUCUAUAAACGUAGCUACUACGUAGUCAUAUGCGUUAAAUGUGCUUGUUAUCUCUUCUGUGAGGCGCACUAGUUGGUAUACUGUCGAAUGAGUACUACGAAAGCCGAACUGUUCAUUUGGUAGUAUGUUGUUGUAAAUGUGUCGAUUGAGUCGAUGUAGUAAAAUACUCUCGGCGACUUUCGACACAGUACUUAAUAGCAGUGGCGGCUGGUGCCUUUUGAAAAUAGGGGUUCACAGCAUUGGGCUCUUUGUAUAAAGAAUCACCGACCCCCCCCCCCCCCCAUCCCUUUUGAAGCGAGGGGUCCGUAGGCCUCCCCCUGGAAAAAAUUGUAUUUUAAGGUGUAAAAUGGUGCUUUUUGGGUAUUUUAAAUCACAUAAAUACCAACAAUUUUUUCCAAGUUAUUGUGGGGCGAAAGUGAAGUUUUUACCUCCAAAAUAGCCACCGGAUAUGUCGCUCACACUGAUAAUAUAGCAAAUGUUAAAUUAUGCAGUGUGAAGUCUUUUUAAAAUAAAUACAAAUGAUUACCAUAAAAUGUAAAGUACACCAAAUUCUGAAACAGUUUGCUAGCAAGAGUGUUAUUGAUGUGACCAGUUUUAAGUAAGGUCUAUAAUUUUAUCCAUUGUUUUGUUGGUAAUUAUAUAUAAAUAUAUAUAUUGUAUUUACAACAGCAUUACAUUUACAAUAUGUAAAUACAGCAUUGACUUACAAAAUUUGAAGUACCGGUAGUUUAUACUUUACCUUUGAACUUACUUUCCUUAAGCACUAAACUAUAAUUACAGUAGUACAAUAGUAAUAUAAAUAUUAUAUUCACAAAUUUAAUUUAAUUUUCAAUUUUUUCCUUUGACAGAACUUUCUUUGAGCAUCACUAUAUACAUCUUAACUUGAAACGAAUCUGAACAAUUCACUGUAAAAUGAGCUGAACAAUUCAUUUCGCCUAAAAAUGAAGUUGAACAAUUUACGAACUCUGGUUUUAACAACAUAGGAAAACAUAAUGUGAGGAUAUUAUUUAGAAUAUUAUUGAAAUUGAAAUACUUAAGUGCAGUUCUUAUAAACUAAAUCUAUGAAUCUAUCGUUCUAUGUUUUUAGAAGAAAAUAAUUCAAUGACCAUGUCAUUAAAAUUUGGUAUUUUGUUUAUCAUGUCUUUUUCUAUUGAAAGCAUGGCUAACGCACUGAGUCUGUCUUCACACAUUGUACUUCUUAACAAUGUUUUUAUCCUCUUCAGGGUUGAGAAACAUCGUUCAGCUUCAGCUGUAGUCAUCGGAACAGUUGAAAUAAUAAGUAACAAUUUGUGUGUUUCCGUAAACGUGGUCUGUAAAUUGUUUUCAAGGACAAACUGCAGAAGACUAGCUGAUCCAUCCAUAUCUCGGAAGUCGUGUCGCUGGUAAAUUACUGCUAGCUCAGUUUUAAAACGAGCCUUAUCUAUGAAAGGAUACGUUUUGGUUGUUUGUUCAAGAAGAUGAACAGGAAAUUGCUUAUCAUAUUCCUGGAAGUUUUCGGAAUCAAAAAGGCAUACCGCAGAAUAAUAUGUUGUGAAAGAAAACCUCUCCUUUACUUGAUUAGUAAUCACAUCACAUACUUCCUUGGCUACAACAGUUCUAUUUACAUGAACAUCUUCCACUUUCCUUUUUUUAGAAUGCUGCUCUGGCACCGACAUUUCAGUUCGCAUUCUCACUUUAUCCAUAUUCUCUCUUUCUUUCUCAAAUGAAAGUCGAAAACUGUCUACAUGUUUCCUGACUUUAUCGGCAUCGAUACUCCUUUUUUGUAGCUGAUUAAACAAAAUGUAUACGUGCGGCAUUAUAUUGUGAAAAACUGUCAGCCAAAAUACAAACACUGGAUCAUUCAACAUGCGCCGAAUAGCUCCCGACUGGUUGAUUGUUGUUGACUGCUUGCAUGACGACUUAAUUUCGUUCAUGCAUUCAAUCAGUUGUUUUCUGUACUCGUACACCGUGUUAACAGUACGACUCUUAAAAUUUCAUCUUGUAGAAGAAGCACGAGGAAUUCUCCUGAUAACGACGCCAUCAAGAACAGCAAUUCUCUGUGGUGAGCGGCUAAAGAAGUUAGUUAUAUCACUCAAAUUGGAAAAGAAUACACGGACUUGUUGGUUUUGGCUUGUAGAUUGUGCCACAAUUAAAUUCAACUGAUGCGCAUAACAAUGCACGUAAUGUGCAUAUAUAUCAUUUUGUUGAAUAAUGGCCUGAACACCAUUGUGAUGCCCACUCAUUACACUAGUCCCAUCAUAACUCUGAGAUAUCAAUUUCUCGAGUUUGUCAACAAUACUUUCCAAAACAAUGCGAAUACAUUCUGCGAUUGAUGCAGCAUCAUGUCCUGGAGGAUUUACAAACUGCCAGAAUCAUUCUACUGCUUGCCCGUUAGGUAACACAAAGCGAAAAACUAUAACCAACCUCUAAAAAUUCCAGGAUUAGCAGAUUCUUGUGUCUCGUCGUGACCUCGCAGCGCGAGUUCAAACGCCCCGCAAAAGUUUAUACAAUCUAUAAUUUUAGACAAGACAUAACUUAACGAUUUUUUGUAACUUGCUCGUUAUGUUGUUUAAUGUUCAAACGGUAGGCACAAUCAAGUUGUUGGCGAAUGUCUAAUUUCCCCAAAAGAUGAAACUCCAGGACGGAAUUCAAAUGUGUUUCUGCACUCUCAUGCUUCUUUAUUUUUUGACUUAAGUGACACAAAUCUGAGACGCCAAAACUCACCCAACUAGAUUCACCACUUCGUUUCGCGAAGAGCAGGCAGGGAAAACAAUAGAGCCGGUUGGUUUCUUCGCAUCCACAGAUCCACGAGUUUUUCCCGUAAAUGUCCUGCUUAAAUUCUGUCCUGAUUUCCCUAUUUUUUGACUUAAGUCACUAGCACUAUAGUAAAUUAGAGAACACCAGUGUUUUUAUGUCCGAGACUGUUAACUUACUCAAGGCCAUAACUAGUAACUUAACUUAGUAGCUAAAAAAACUUUUUAAAAGUCGCACUAAACGCACUUAAGUAGAACAAUAACACGAGACAAACAGCGCCGUCAUCAUCCUCGAAGAGCGAGCAAAAAUGGGAGAAACAGGACAAGAAAUGUUGCGCCGCGCACAGGAUAGUGUUGCGCACGACUGGACUGUGCUCCUAGGCUGGCUUAUGGGGAGCUACCCCCACCACGUCGCUCCGAGCCAAGCGGCGCGCCGUCGCCCGCCUAGCCACCACCGCACAUGCGAUACCAGCAAACAAAGCAGAGGCAAGCUGCGCUUAUUCUAUAGCGGUGGUUUUGGAAAAUAUUGCUAAUGGUUAUAAGACCAAAUGGGUUGCAUUUAUUUAUUAUUCGAUGUGUAUGAUAUUUAAGUAUUACAGUAGGCGCCUAUUUAAAUGAGGCGAAGGGGUUCACGUGCGAGUGUGCUCUAAUGCAAUAACCGCCACUGCUUAAUAGGCUGAUUGGCCUGUAGUUCUGGGGUAAUGUUUUAAUUUUACCCGGCUUGUGAAAUACUAUAACUUUAGCUUCCUUCCACUGGGAAGGGAAAAUAUUUAUUCUGACCAUCGCAUUAAUUAUGCAUUCAGCUAGAUAUGCUAGGGCCUCGUCCGGGAGUUGAGAACGACAGCCUGUGUGCUGUCAUUCCCAGGGGCUUUGCGCAGCUUCAUUUUUCUGAUAGCUCGCUUGAUAUCCUGUGCUUCGGUUGGCAAGGGUUUUGAGACUGUGGGCUGUCGCAAUUUAACACGAAGUUCGCGGUAAAUUUGCACUGUGAAUUGCCUGGCACAAGGCUGCAUGUUUGGCUGGAAGGCUGUUUCCAAGAAAUCGACGAAAGCCUGUGCCUUGUCUCGGGGCUGGAAAGCUACGACAUUGUUUGUUUGGAGGGGCGAGAUUUUAUCCGAUUUAUUCAAAAGUUGCUUUGUCAUUGUCCAGGCCCUACCUGGGUUUUGAGGCUUGCGAAUUACGCUUCCCACUAGCUGCUUCGCCAGAAUGAAAUUUCGUCGGAUGACUGUUUUUAGUUCGUUUAUUCGGCGUUUCGUAUGUUGUGUACGACGCCGCGUGUAUUCACGCCGCAGACGAUUUUUUUUUUUGGUGAAAUAUAGCUGCGGAUGUACUUUCGCAGUUCGUCAUGCGCUAACCUAACCUCCUUUUUUUUGGAUGCACUGGCUGAUACCAUCUUGGAUUUAUGUGGUAAGUUCUGUUAUCGCAGAAUCUAGGUUUUCGCUAUUAUCAAUGUUAAUUUCGGCCGCGUCAGGAAGAUUUACCGUUAAAUUGUUUUUAAAACGUUGACAGUCCACGUUCUUGUAAUCCAUAAUUUUACGCGGUGGGUUUGAGUCUAGAGUUGCGUCGUCGAAGAUUAAGUGAACAGGGGAAUGGUCCGACGACUUGUGUACAACCUCGAGUUCAAAUCCUUGGUUGGCACGCUUGUUAAGAGCGACAGAUAGACUAUCUAGUAUAUCGGGCAAGUUAUUGGGUCUGCCUGAGUCAUGUGUAGGCUCGGAGGGAGCAUGGACAUGAUAGUUUUUAAUUAGCUGGUGGGUAUAGGGUAGCCUACCAUUCGCUGUGACGCGCCUACAGUUCCACUCUAAGUGCUUCGCAUUUAUAUCGCCAACAGCGAGGAAGCUCGGGGCCGACCCGUACAGAGCGUCCAGAUCCGCCACACUGAGGGACCUACCAGGGACCGGAUACAUUAAUGAUAGUUUAAUUUGUUGGCGGUUGAUAUAGUCAAAUUAAUUCCUAUAGCUUCUAAAUUUUGAAAAUCGGGGAGCUGGCAGGCAGAGUGCUUGAUGUUGUUGUGGACUUCCAGGGCGAUUCUGCCACCUCUGGCAUCACGGUCGCACCUGUAAAUGUCAUUAUUUAGAAUGGUUAGUCUAUCAGUCAGUACUAAGUGCGUUUCACUUAUCGCAGCUAUCUUUAUUUUAUAUUUGUCCAGGUGGUUUAUGAAUUCCGGUAGUUUAUUUUUAAUACCGCGUGCUAUCCAGAGUAAGAGAGUAUGUAACUUAAACCUACUAGUCGAGGUUGUGUCACAACUCGGGGCCAAAUUAGUAGCCACCAUGGAUAGUGUCGGCAAGCGCACAGAAACAAUCCAUGGUAGCAGGGAUUUUGUCAGCCAUGGUUUUGGCUGGAUCAAGCCAAAUAACCAUAAAAUGGCACAGUGGGGCACUCUGCAGUUGGGCAUUGGCACUUAUGGCCUUAUUGCCCUGGAGGAUGGAUCGAACAUCCUCCAGCUGUGGCACUGUGCCGUUGUGCACUUGUUGUGUGGGCAUGCGCCCAUUAUUGCUUAUAUGUUGUUUAAUUAAAUGCAAACUGGGAGGCUACUUUUUUUUUAUAUCUUUUUUUAAUAACUCAUUGUUUUUAACUUUUGAUUAUUUGAAGAAUAAUGAAAUAAUAAUUAUUUUAAGUAUCAAUUUGUAAGAAAUAAUUGUUUUUGUAUAAAAAUCUUUUUUUUGUUAAAAGAUAUUUAUGUCUUUGUUAAGAUUUGUGGAUUUAAAAGAAAAACAUAUGGACUUUAAAAGACUUUAAACAUCAUAAAUUCCUUUUUCCUUUUGUUUAUAUUAAUAUUGUGGUUAAGAUUAAUUAUUGAGUUAUUGCACUUAAGUGCAGGAAAGUGUAACUUUUUAAGUUUCUCAUCUCUAUGUAUUGUCAUAUCUAUGGUCAUCUUCAUAUUGGAAAGGAAAAGGUAGCACUUUCCUUUCUGUUUUUGUCAGCCAUAAUGUAGACAUCAAAAUUUUUGUGCUCGUCACGUAUCUAUCGACAUCCAUGUCGAAAGUUGUGUAUUUACUACCGCAUUAGCGGUCCGGGAGUUGGCGACCUCUCGCUGCCCCAUGCCUGAGGUGUGAUCCAUAAGCUUCGCCCAUAACAUCUGGGCACCCCAGGGCUUGUCCCGUGGUUCUACGGCGAUGGGAGCCGCCAACAAAUAUCCCAGGAAAGUUUUCGACGACUAAAUCCUAAGCAUGCAGCAUGGGUAGUUAACCUGUUUCGGCCACGCGUAUCUUGCAAUUUCAUCGACUAUUUCAUCAAACUACCCCUUUGGCAUCGUAAUCUACAUUUAAUUCCUGAGUAAUAUUUUAAUUCUUUCUGUAUCUUAAAUUUACGUUAAUUAUUUUGAAAAUGUAACUAAGUAAUAAUCAUUUUGAAAAAUGUAACUAAUUAAUCAUAUUGUGAAGAUGUAACUAAGUAAAAAAAAUGUUGGGGCCCCGUUUUGUUUUGAAUGUACGAAUACUCAAUUAAUACUCUUUAUUGUGUUUUAAAUAAAUAUGUUUUGUUAUGGCUGACCCGAUAUCAGUGUGUAUUUUAUGUUGCAAUUACCUAACCUUUUUAUUUAAUUUCUUAUCUAUAUAAAUUCUUAACAGGUUAUCAACUUUUGUUCGGUAGUUUUCCCAGUCGGCAUAUUUUCUCUCUACUCGUUAUUUAUUCAAUACAGCAAAGCAAUGCCAUUCAACCUAAGAUCCCGGAGUCUUCCGUCGUAAAUUACCUUGGUGAGGUUUAGCAAACCGAAACGAGUAAUUACCGGCACAGCACCUGCGUGUGGUGGCGGGUGUGGGUGGGGCAUUUGGCUACACUGGGGCUGCGUCAACAGCCACUGUCUCGGCAGCGACAGGCACCGCUCGCUGCGAGUUCUGCACUGGUUUUUCCUGGGUUGAGGCAGCUGGUACAGCUGGGGUAGGCUGUUUGGGCCUUCCAUUGCCAUUUUUGUGGCCAGUCCAACUUUUCUUGGGCUGUUUUUGUUGCGUCUGCCUCGGUUUACGCAGCUAGGGAUUGUUUGUGAGCACUGGGUAGUCCAGCUCAUUGUAGCUGGGCUCGAAGUGCUGCUGCAGGGCCUCGAACCUGUUGCCUCCUGCCUGGACCAUGUACUGGCUUAGGGUCGGGGGCGGGGGGUACCAUGAGGUAGCCCGAGGGGGUUUCUGUGGCAGGGGCUGUUUUGUAGCGUGCUGAUUCGCGCGCAUGUCACGGUGAGACUGUUGUUCGCGCGCCUUGCGGACCUGGGGAGGAAGGUGCCUGCGGCUCUCCUUCUUGUAAGCACUUCAGCCCUUGUAGUUGGCGCAGUGAUGUUUGUCACAGAGAGCACACUUUCUGUGCUCCUGUUGCCCGGCCAGAGGGCAGUCGGGGACGUGCUGCGGGCCACUGCACCACCUUAAGACUUGGGUGGCCCGGCAGCCCUUGCCAACGUGAUUGAAUCGCUGGCACUUGCUGCACUGACUAGGGCGAGAGGGGCGACGGUAGUCGUCGACACGGGUGGCCAUGCUGGCGAACUCCUUGAGGGAGAGGAUGCGCUCAGAGUCGCAGCUCUGAGGCUCCUUUAUUACCAGUGCGUCGCCCUUCUCGCGGCGCUGUUGGUUCUCAAGGAACCAACAGUUCUGCACUGGUAGGUUAGCAGCAUUGAACUCCUGUUGCAGGAAGUACUGGGGAGUGCGGAUGUGUAGGCCAUGCAAAACAAUUUUCUUGAGCAUUACGUCCCGCUUAAGCAGGAUGGAAUGCUGGGCUCCUAUGGCCUCCAGGGGCCUUGAUGGCUCAGUGGUAUUCCGGGAUACUGGCUGUGUGAAUCAUAAGCUCGUCAUGGCAGCGGUUCUGGCAGACAAAUUUCUCUGCCAGAGCUGUUUUCAGGGCGUGAUAGACCCUCGGGUAUUGGUGCCCUGCAUCCAGGAACACGAAUAGUGGCUUCACUUUGGGAGCCUUGGUCGCCGGCGCUGAAAGAACUUGGGGGGCGGGAGUAGGGGCAGGGCCCUCCUCGUAGCUGCUGUCCGCAUUUCGGUCGCUGUGGAAACGCUUUGCCUUUUUUUCGAGACUGUGGUCCAGCCAGGCUGGUCACCACUGCCUGAGGGGCUUUCGUCUUCCUAUCGCUCAGUUGCACCCACUGACCCGCUAGUUAGCUAGGCUACAGGGGUUAUAACACCCCGGGUGUCGCUGAGUGUGUCAGCCGUCAAUACAAUACCUUCCCUGUAAUAACUGUGACCGCCUGUGCGCACAAGGCACACAGGCCCCUUUCAAGAGUUGUCUGCUGUCGGCUGUGAUAGUACUCAGAAGUGCUAUCAAAGGCUUAACAAGCCAGACCGCAGGAGUUGCUACGAGACACGUCCUUCCUUCUCCGCGGCGCAGCUGGAACCCCCUUCAGAAGAAGAAGGAAGCACUUCCCGAGGCUUAAAUACAUAACCCUAGAGUGCGCGGCGCACGCGCAGAGGCCUGGAGAAAGGGGUGAGGAUCGAAGCAAGGAAGGGAAAGGGAUAAUGAUGACACCAAAAAUGUGGUGAAGGGAAGAGGGUAGUGGGGGCAGGGGUGGCAGCUUGAAAUGGAGGUAAUAUCAUUACAGCACUAAACCAAGCUGAGGUGUGUUUCGGCGGGUAUUCCUGGCGCCUGAGAUUACCGUAGCUUAGCUGAGGGGUGUUUUAUUAGGAACAUCUGGUGCCUGAGAUGGCACCUGUUGAUUCUGCUGAGGCUUAGACCCAUCACAGAAACUCAAAAACCAUUUUUUCUCUGGGACCGGAGAAGAUGGACACUGUGGAUAACUCAAAAUGUUAAAUUUGUCUAAUCGAAAUACUGACAGUAAUUUACAUUUUAACAUCCAUAUUUCCUUUAUCUAUAGUCAUUUUGUGGCAGCUCUUAACUUUUAAUUUUUCCAUCUGUUUAUUCUUCUUAGAUAAAUUAUUAUAAAUUCAUCCGUAUUGACUAGAAAUUGUUUGUUAUAUCGCUUUUAAAAAAUAUAGUAUAUCAUAUAAUCAUAUAAUCGCUUUAGUAAGCACAGCAAGAUAUAUUCUGUGCUGGUGACUGUGUUCUUAUUAGAAAAAAAUCUAAGAUUAUUUUUCAAUAAACAAAACAUAACAUUUUAUAUUUUAACACGGAUAGGUAGGUACACAAUUUUCAAGCUGCAGUAAACCUUUGAAUUUCAAAAUUACUACAGCAAAACCCCUUAUUUGCACUUUUCAUGGGGACAAAGUAAAAAAGUGUAAAAAGCGGGAAAGUGUAAAUAAAGGGAAAAGUAUAAAAAGGAGUACAGUUUACCUUAUUUAGAAUUUUUUUCCUUUUGUUUAAUAGCACAUACUACAAUGCAGGUACAAACACACUAACAACAAAUUUUACUUUAGUAUUUCAUCCAUUAUUAAUUUACCACAUUUGACAAAAAUAAAAAAAAGAAUGAAAGCCAAAAUGUUUUUCUGAUUACUUCCUAAAAAUAAAUUUGAAAUUUUCUUCUGCUUGCUUUUUUGGCUGUUCAAGAUUAUUUGCCUCUCCAAAUUAUAAAUACAGUUGCAACCGGCAGGGUUUAUAACAAAUACGGGCUACAUACACAUUGCUCACAGUAAAAAUUUUUUUAAGAAAAGGCCGCAAAUUGUUGAAUAUUUACCGUCAAUAGCGCGCCAAACGCGGAGAAAGGUCAUUGUACUCGGUCAGCUGCUGUAACGACGCGGCGGCGCAUGCGCACUCUAUGCUCCGCCCAGACUCAUGACUCAUGACGCCAUCAGCCGCCAACCAAUAGAUGCGAGCUUAGCGGAAAAAAAUAUAAGCUCCACCUCCCGUGUACCAAUUUUAUCCAGUUCUAAUACCAGUUUAUUGGUAUACGCACCAGUUUUCUCGCUGCCGUGACAUGUUCAAGUUUACGUUUAUCAUGAUGUCUUGAUACCAAUAAUUAAUUAUUUACGAUCCCCAGAAAUAAAUGGUUAGUUUAAAAAAUAUGGCGUCAACUGUACAACACUUCCCAAAUUAUAAAAGACGUAUAAAACAGUUACCAAGACACCGCUCAUUUUAUCUUGUGAAGUUUAUGUCUCGUACCAGUAUUUCGGCUAAGUUGUGACAUAAAUACAGUAUCAGAACUUACAAGCAGCCAUGUUUGUACAUUCAUGAGUUUACGUUUUUCCCUCGUGCAUUUUAGAUUGUCUCCUGCUAUAAUUACUCGUACUUUUACACGCCUAGGCUUAAAUUAUUACAUGUUUAGAAAUAAAAGCAACUUUUCAUGUUAUAAAAUAUGUAUAUUUUGCUAUUUAAAAUGUUCAUUGCCUACUAGCUCCACGGUAUUUUCUGGUUGUUUAUGGUUGUUACGUGACGUAAAUAGCGGGAUUGAUUCGAUUUUUGAGACGUAAUUCGCGGGAAAGUAUUGUAUUGGACUAUAUGGGAACCAAACGGGACCUGAAGAAUAUAGUGCAAAUAACGGGAAAACGUAAAUAACGGUAACGUAAAUAAGGGGUUUCGCUGUAUUUGUUCAUGACUGAAAAUGUAGUGGUAUAUUUAACAAUGCCGGUUUCAGUUAUGAAUGAAAGGAUGAAUGGGCCUAAAGUUUACUAAAGAAAUGCCAGUGAGGUGACGAGAUGAGAAUGGCAGCCCCGAGGGAAUGAGCAAGCACACUGAGGAACCCCGCUGGCGCACAGCAAGGUGCACUACGUCUCAGUUGUUGGGAAGUCCGGGUUCUUGCUCCGCUGGGAACUCCACAGUGGUGUAUACAUGAAAAAUACAUAAAAUCAUUCCAAAACAUUAAAAAUUAAUUAAAUUGGCAUUUGAAGUGAAUUUUUUAAUGGCUUUUAUUACAAAUGUCUACAAUUUGCAAUACUUGCUUACUUUCAUUUUGUUAAGCAUAAAAGCUGUUAAUAAAGCCCUGGGUAGCCGUGCUGCAACGUAUAAACUUUAAACAUAACUUGCCAUCUUCAAAGUUUGAUGUCAGUGACAAUGUUUUCGUAUAACAAUUUAAAUGUUCUUUCUCCAUUGCUUAUCAGACUACAGAAAAGUAGUGUACGAUAGGAUAGUACAAAUGAUUUAAAGGAAAGUUAAUUAAUUUUUUUAUAGUAGUUAUUUGUUUUGCUUGUAUUUUUGUUUUGCCCACAAUAGCUAAAUGCCUAAGGCUAGCAUUGCACCAGGCCUCUAUAUAUCCAUAUGAUUGUUAAUUGUUAAUUGUGUUUUUUUUUUUUUUUUUUUUUUGUGUUUUCAAGUCUCUAUUUGUUGUAAUUGUUUUUGUGAAAAUCUUUGAUAGAAAUUUGUGUGUUAUAUGUAAUGAGUAUAAAUAUUUUUUAUUUAAUUUUUGCUCGGUUAUUUCUAAGAUUUUCCAAGAAUACAUUUUACUGUAUUAUGAUUUUUAAAUUAAUUUGAAUACUUUGUGUUUAUUUUAUCAGUGUGCUAAGACAUAUGUUAUAUUUCCUUAACUUUUAUGUUAAUGUGUAACCUAAAAAAUGUUAACCCAGCUGUGUGUAAGAAAAUAAUGUGCAUUUAAAGCAUUAGUUAGUUUGGUGUGCAUUUAAAGCAUUAGUUAGUUUGGUGAAGGUGUUUCUUUGAAUAUGUAAUUAUGUGGUUAUUUUUCUUUUAUUCCUUGUAUUGGAUUGUGUUAAAAAGGAAUUUGUUUAUAUGUAUUGGAAAUGAAAAAAGUAAUAUAAUUCAUUGUAUUAAA